AAGACAACAUCAGUGAGAACGGUGAGAGCAGAUUAAGAUCAAACUCAUCAUUUUUUCCAAUUGUUAUUACUGCUGAUUUAUAUGACAGGAAACCAGCGAUGGAUAAGACAGGAUUGGUGAUCUUGCUGCUUCUAGAGCCCACCAACAAGAACAUUGCAGUUAUGGUUUCUAUGACCUGGUCGGCAGCACAGAGUUACUGCAGGGAGAGAUACACAGACUUGGCAAGCAUGAGAACCCAGCAAGAGAAGGAGGCCAUCGUCAGUGUGGUUGAUCAGUCAUCCUGGUGGGUUGGUUUGUCCACAGAGACUUGGACGUGGUCUGACCAGAGUAACGCUUCGUUCAGACUGUGGAACAAUGGCGAGCCCACUGCUGGUGGAGGAAAAUUCCCUUCAUCUGUUCAGUUCCCAUAAGGAACCUGUUCAAGGUUGUACUGAAGGCUGAAGGACCUGUGGACCUGAAUGACCCCCCAGUGCCUGAAGCUCUUUUGAACCAUAUAGAGAAACACAUGAGGGACCAUGGGAUAUAUCAGAAGUCCAUGCUGGGAUGGACGAAGCAACCGAAUGGAAAAAUCUUUAAUAAGAAAGAGGACGAAGCAUAACUGUGAAUGUUGUCUGUUUUUUUUUUAUAUAACAACACAGUCCCUGCCUUAACCAUGAAGACCUAAACAUAUAUUUAUUAAAACAUUUAAAUCUCACCAAUUAUGUACUUUUUGUGUGUGUUUAAGUGAAGCUUUAAUUACUGUUUGCCUUACUUUUGUUAUAUUGGUACUUUGUAACAGUUCUGUUGUGCCAACCUUAUUAACUCUGUUUUACAACAAGAAUUGUCAAAUUAUAUUUCAUCACUAUGAAUAACACUGUGUAAUCUUCAUGUGAAUUAGCAGUUAAGAAUACUAAGAUAAGUGUGUUUUUGCUUAUAGUCUUAAUAAGUGCAUGAGGGGGAAGUAGGUUAUUUAUAAAGAAGGAUGGUAGAUCACAGUCUAAAUGGUAUCACAGUUGAUUACUGUGACACCAUUUAGGCUGUGGCCCAGGGCCACGAAUACACUCUAGUGAACACAGAGGUGGUUACUCAUUAUAAUUGGCCUUUAAAACCAAAACUUCUAUUUUUUCUCUUUAUUUGUCUUUGGUUGUUAAGUUUAAUGUGGCAUAAAUACACAACCAGGAGUCGUGCACAGUAAACAGAGGAAGAAGAAACUAGAGAAAGACUGUGAAUGAGUUAAAAAUCUUUGUCAACAUGUGGGGAGUUUGGAUUUGCUGUACUUGCUCCUGGAUAUGCUUAUGUCAAACAGGCGUUAUGGAGAUUCAACUGGAAGAACAUUUGGGAAUCUUUGGAAUGCAUUGACUAUUUAAAGCAGGCUUAAGUGUGGACGAUGUGCAUGGAUACAUAUAAUACAUAUUUAUGAUGUCAAUGUUACAAUGCGGGCAAAAACAAUACAGAACCAGAUCCACAUAUUCUGGUACAACUUUGUCCUGUGGCAUUCUUAAUAGAGAAUUUAUGGUUAAUUCACCAUUUACUAAUGCUUUAUAUAUAUAUAUAUCAGUUAUAAGACAUUAAUAAGUACUUUUGGAUUACAAAAUAUUAAAGAUCCCCUCCAGAGAUGUAUUAAAAUAGUCUGAUUAGAACAUUUAUGUGUGCCUGAUGUGUUCUUUCAACAAAAACAGUAUC